rnacentral:tRNA from 1 species
GUGCAUGUAGUUUAGUGGUAUAACAUUCGCUUUGCAUGAGAAAGGCUCGGUGUUCGAUCCGCCGCUUGUCCA